rnacentral:rRNA from 1 species
AAUGGGCGCAAGCCUGAUCCAGCCAUGCCGCGUGAGUGAUGAAGGCCCUAGGGUUGUAAAGCUCUUUCGACGGGGAAGAUAAUGACGGUACCCGUAGAAGAAGCCCCGGCUAACUUCGUGCCAGCAGCCGCGGUAAUACGAAGGGGGCUAGCGUUGUUCGGAAUCACUGGGCGUAAAGCGCGCGUAGGCGGAUUGUUAAGUCGGGGGUGAAAUCCCAGGGCUCAACCCUGGAACUGCCUUCGAUACUGGCGAUCUUGAGUCCGGGAGAGGUGAGUGGAACUCCUAGUGUAGAGGUGAAAUUCGUAGAUAUUAGGAAGAACACCAGUGGCGAAGGCGGCUCACUGGCCCGGUACUGACGCUGAUGUGCGAAAGCGUGGGGAGCAAA